CAGAACCAGUAGCAGAGCCCCGUGCUGUUCAGCCAUGUCAACAUGGUGACCUGGGAAAACACAGUCAGAGCAGAUAAGAUUCAGUGCGUAACAAAGUCUAAGACACUACAGGUGAAGAUCGUAAUGUAAUAUGAGCGGCAGGGUACACCCUGGACAAGUUGCCAGCUCAUCACGAUUUCCCUCACUGGUGGCAGAAGCUGCCAUGCAAGGUGCCAACUGCACAUCAGGAGAAAUUUGAGGUUCAGCACCUUGCUCAAGGACACUACAACAUGUAGCUCAGCUCAGCCCGGAGAUGGGAUUUGAACCAGCGACCUUCUGAUCACUAGCUCACCUGUGCUACCCGUUACAACCGCCCUUUAAUCAACCCAUAAAUCAAAAAAUAAUGUAAAGAGAAUUAAAAAAUGCUCCAAUCCUCA